UACAACGUAAAAAGUAGAAGAAAAAAUAAAAAAAUAAAAAGGAUUGAACCAACACCAAUGGUGCAUCUAUAACUUGCAAGCCAAUUUAUGUACAGAUCCUUCAAUGAAAGCAUCGGCAUUCUCUUUCAUCACUCACUUUCAUAGUCAUCUUCAUCUCCAAAAGAGAAAACAGAAGCAUCAGCAGCCAUUGCUUUGAACUCACUCUCUGAGUUGUUAGCCCCCAGGCUUGAAACAGCUCCACCAACAGCAUCGCUUUUUGGCUGACUAGCAGCAUGCACCUGUUGUAAGCCUGUGUUUCCAAGAGAAAAUUGUUCGGUAGCAUGUGUUAAACUUGCAACUUGAUCUGUUUUAGUAUUAGUUUCAGAACUAGAAGUGGUUGUGGUGGCAGUUCCUCCUCCUGCAGAAGCAGCUUGAGCUUUCCUUAGUUUUGAAGAAACAGAUUCCUCUGCCUCACUGUCUGAAAAUACAUCAUCUUUAUCAUUUCCCUGGUCUUUAUUUUGCUUUGGAGCAGCUGCAGCUGCAUUCGCAUCAACUGGAGCUGGAGCAGCACUUGAACCUUCAUUUGACUUCUCAGCAGCAGUUUCACUGUUUGGCCCUGUUGGAGCAGCGCCAUUAUAAUCUACUAGCACAACCUCAACCUGAAAUCCUGGGGAAGGCAGUUUCCGCUUGUCAAACCCAUCAAUAUCAUUGGUAUUUAAAACCUUUCUGUUUUCCAUCAUUGUUGUGUUUAACCAAAAGUAAAAAUCUCCUUGGCGGUCAUGAAAAUGGACUUUAAAGUCUCCAGCCACCUCUGCCAGACCAGGUUCCCCUGGCAAAGCAAAGACCAUAACCCCUUUCUUUGGUGCACUAAACCAAUAGUCUUCUGGCGACAAAUCCACGGUUCUGGGAUGCUUUUUUGUGGAGAAAAGAACACCAUUAUGAUCAGAGACAGUAAUAGAGGGCCUGAUCCAAUAAGGACAUCGAUGAAGCCGAAAUCCCCUAAGAAUGCACCUACGCCCUCGUUGGUUUUCACCAUUGAAGUAUGUUAAGAUGCGUUCGAAGUAUUUUACAUAUCUAAUUUGACUAGGCAGAACAAGCCCUUUUC
rnacentral:misc_RNA from 1 species